rnacentral:rRNA from 1 species
UACGUAGGGUGCGAGCGUUAAUCGGAGUUACUGGGCGUAAAGCGUGCGCAGGCGGUUCGUUAAGUCAGCUGUGAAAGCCCCGGGCUCAACCUGGGAACUGCGGUUGAAACUGGCGAACUAGAAUCUGGCAGGGGGGGGUGGAAUUCCACGUGUAGCAGUGAAAUGCGUAGAGAUGUGGAGGAACACCGAUGGCGAAGGCAGCCCCCUGGGCUGAGAUUGACGCUCAGGCACGAAAGCGUGGGGAGCAAACAGG